rnacentral:rRNA from 1 species
UACGAAGGGGGCUAGCGUUGCUCGGAAUCACUGGGCGUAAAGCGCACGUAGGCGGAUCUUUAAGUCAGGGGUGAAAUCCCAAGGCUCAACCUUGGAACUGCCUUUGAUACUGGGGAUCUCGAGUCCGGAAGAGGUUGGUGGAACUGCGAGUGUAGAGGUGAAAUUCGUAGAUAUUCGCAAGAACACCAGUGGCGAAGGCGGCCAACUGGUCCGGUACUGACGCUGAGGUGCGAAAGCGUGGGGAGCAAACAGGGAUUAAGAAACCCCA